CUAUUAGCCAAUUCAACAAGGCCCUCUUGUUAGCAAUUUCUGGACCUCAAGCCAAAGCGGUGAGAGAACCCAAGCUGUUUCAAGGUUAGCGGUUGAGAACAUAAAUUCUGUAUCUUACUCACUGAUGGGCAAGGCACUUGACCUUGGUAUGCCUCACUUGCCCCAUCUGCAAAAUGGAACUGAUAAUUGUGCUUGACUUAGAAGGAUUGCUGAACAGUUUGAGCCAGUUAGUAACCUAAAGCCCUUGGACCAGGAUUGGCAUGUUGCAGGUGACAGGGGAAUAUAUUUGAGAAGAUAGGGGUUUGCUCCCUGCCCAGAUUUCUCCAGUUUUUGCAGAAUAGCGUGAGAAUCAAGGAGGAUACUGCGCUUGUGGUAACCAACCUGCAUUUUGGGACCAUACUAGUCAGGCUGUUCCAGUCCAAG
ensembl:lncRNA